rnacentral:rRNA from 1 species
UACGUAGGCAGCAAGCGUUGUUCGGAGUUACUGGGCGUAAAGGGUGUGUAGGCGGUCUUCUAAGUCUGGUGUGAAAUCUCCGGGCUUAACUCGGAACGGUCAAGUGAUACUGUCGGGCUAGAGUGCAGAAGGGGCAACUGGAAUUCUCGGUGUAGCGGUGAAAUGCGUAGAUAUCGAGAGGAACACCUGCGGCGAAGCGGGUUGCUGGGCUGACACUGACGCUGAGGCGCGAAAGCCAGGGGAGCGAACGGG